UAAACAUAAAGAGAAGGCCUUGAAGUAUUUCAUACUACUGCGUAGACAGUCAGAGCUGAUUGGUCAGAGCUACCAUUUCUUUCACAGACAACAGUGAACACCUGCCCAUACAUGUAACCUCUGCAAGCUGCCUGCUGGAUCCUUGUUAUUAUGGCUGUACUACUAUGAAGCUUACUAUGAAACAAGAUUGAACAGAAGACUGAGUGUGAGCUGGCAUGUGAGAAUGCUACAGGUUUGCCAAAAGAGAUCUAAACCAGGAUUUAUUUUAAAAGAAAUGGAAGCCUACUUUCACUGGGCUGUAGUAGAAGUGUCGAUUGUGGAGAAGACAGUGGAAUCCGGCUUCAGAUCUAACAAGCAGAUGAAAAAGAGGAGAAGAAAACUGCUUAUUUAGCAGUGAGUUUAGGUGAACCAAUGAGAUCCUCCACUGAAACCGAAAGUACAAAAACAUGAGGAAGUAUGAGCCCAACCACUUGCCAAUUUCUUCCGUGAUCAGGCAGCAGAUAAGUUGUUUUCAGCUUGGCGUUUAUUUUAGCUUAAUAUCAUCAUAAGUACAGUACAGUUUGCACAGG